rnacentral:rRNA from 1 species
AACGCUAGCUACAGGCUUAACACAUGCAAGUCGCGGGGUAACAUCUGGUAGAGCUUGCUCUUCCAGGAUGACGACCGGCGCACGGGUGAGUAACGCGUAUCCAACCUGGCCCAUACCACGGGAUAGCCCGUCGAAAGGCGGAUUAAUACCGUAUGCUGUCAUUAAGAGGCAUUUUUUGAUGACGAAAGGACUGGCGGUAUGGGAUGGGGAUGCGUCUGAUUAGCUUGUUGGCGGGGUAACGGCCCACCAAGGCGACGAUCAGUAGGGGUUCUGAGAGGAAGGUCCCCCACAUUGGAACUGAGACACGGUCCAAACUCCUACGGGAGGCAGCAGUGAGGAAUAUUGGUCAAUGGGCGCAAGCCUGAACCAGCCAAGUAGCGUGAGGGAAGACUGCCCUACGGGUUGUAAACCUCUUUUGUUUGGGAAUAAAGUGCGGGACGUGUCCCGCAUUGCAUGUACCAUUUGAAUAAGGACCGGCUAAUUCCGUGCCAGCAGCCGCGGUAAUACGGAAGGUCCGGGCGUUAUCCGGAUUUAUUGGGUUUAAAGGGAGCGCAGGCCGUGGGUUAAGCGUGUCGUGAAAUUCCGUCGCUCAACGGCGGACGUGCGGCGCGAACUGGUCCACUUGAGUACGCGGGACGUUGGCGGAAUUCGUGGUGUAGCGGUGAAAUGCUUAGAUAUCACGAAGAACUCCGAUUG